AAAAAAAAAAAAAAAAAAACUGAUAUAAAAUGAUCAUAUAUCAAUAUUUUUUCAACUUUUUCUCCAUAAAUUUCUUAGACCACUUCAGCUCUGCACAAAACUACCAAAUAUUCAAUAAUUUUCAGGAUUUUAACCGUUUAAAUACCAUCAAUGAGAAGUAUGAGGA